GGGAAAGUGUUCAGACUCGUUCUAACAACAAGGAGCAGACGUGAAGUCUGAGGCUGGUGAGUGUUCAGCAACGUUAAUAUUAUUCAUUGUGUUUAAUAACAGAACCUGUUUUCACAAUCAUACGUUACAGCAGUGGUCACCAACCAGUGGAGAGUCUUCACUGUGGAUCCCAGUAAAGCUCUGGACUCACUGGCUGAGGUGUGAGGAGCAUCGACCUGCAGAGCCAGACUGAAGAUGAGUGGUUAUGAGGAGGAAGAGGAGGAAGAGGACAGAGCCGAGUCUCCAGGGUUCAGCUGUGUGUCUCUGAAGAGUAACUGGUCCAAAGAUGAUCCUCCAACCUUCAGUAAUGAACCUGGACCCUCACACACAAAAGGUCAGGACCAGAGACUGAGAGCAGAGUCUCCAGGGUCCAGCUGUCUGUCUCUGAAGAGUGACUGGUCCAUGUUUGAUCCU